UGAGAAUCUGCCUUAAGGAUUGGGACAACAGUGGGAAACCGCUGCUAAUACCAAAUAUGCCUUUUAGUGAAACGGGUAAAACCGCCUUAAGAUGAGCUCGCGUCUGAUUAGCUAGUAGGUGUGGUAAGAGCGCACCUAGGCGACGAUCAGUAGCUGGUCUGAGAGGACGACCAGCCACACUGGGACUGAGACACGGCCCAGACUCCUACGGGAGGCAGCAGUGAGGAAUUUUCCGCAAUGGGCGAAAGCCUGACGGAGCAAUACCGCGUGAGGGAGGAAGGUUCUUGGAUUGUAAACCUCUUUUCUCAGAGAAGAAUAAUGACGGUAUCUGAGGAAUAAGCAUCAGCUAACUCCGUGCCAGCAGCCGCGGUAAUACGGAGGAUGCAAGCGUUAUCCGGAAUGAUUGGGCGUAAAGGGUCUGUAGGUGGUUGUUCAAGUCUGCUGUUAAAGCGUCUGGCUUAACCAGAUAAAGGCGGUGGAAACUGAACGACUAGAGUGCGGUAGGGGUAGAGGGAAUUCCCAGUGUAGCGGUGAAAUGCGUAGAUAUUGGGAAGAACACCUGUGGCGAAAGCGCUCUACUGGACCGCGACUGACACUGAUGGACGAAAGCUAGGGGAGCGAAUGGGAUUAGAUACCCCAGUAGUCCUAGCCGUAAACGAUGGAUACUAG
rnacentral:rRNA from 1 species